rnacentral:rRNA from 1 species
GACGAACCGUGCAAACGUUGUUCGGAAUCACUGGGCUUAAAGGGCGCGUAGGCGGGUGGUCAAGUCAGGGGUGAAAUCUUUCGGCUCAACCGGAAAACAGCCUCUGAUACUGACCGUCUUGAGCGAGGUAGGAGCAUGUGGAACUUCCGGUGGAGCGGUGAAAUGCGUUGAUAUCGGAAGGAACGCCGGUGGCGAAAGCGACGUGCUGGACCUCUUCUGACGCUGAGGCGCGAAAGCUAGGGGAGCGAACGGG